rnacentral:rRNA from 1 species
GAUGAACGCUGGCGGCGUGCUUAACACAUGCAAGUCGAACGGAAAGGCCCAAGCUUGCUUGGGUACUCGAGUGGCGAACGGGUGAGUAACACGUGGGUGAUCUGCCCUGCACUUCGGGAUAAGCCUGGGAAACUGGGUCUAAUACUGGGUAGGACCACUUCUUGGAUGUUGUGGUGGAAAGUUUUUUCGGUGUGGGAUGAGCUCGCGGCCUAUCAGCUUGUUGGUGGGGUAAUGGCCUACCAAGGCGUCGACGGGUAGCCGGCCUGAGAGGGUGUACGGCCACAUUGGGACUGAGAUACGGCCCAGACUCCUACGGGAGGCAGCAGUGGGGAAUAUUGCACAAUGGGCGCAAGCCUGAUGCAGCGACGCCGCGUGGGGGAUGACGGCCUUCGGGUUGUAAACUCCUUUCGCUAGGGACGAAGCGUUUUGUGACGGUACCUGGAGAAGAAGCACCGGCUAACUACGUG